GGACAUAUCACAUUGAAACACCGGUUGUUACAAAAUCACCAAAGUUAAGCAACAUUGAGCUUGGUCAGUACUUAUAUGGGUGACCACUUGGGAAUACAAGGUGCUGUAAG